AACCAGCUGACGGAAGUAACAGUAGAAACAGGAGGAUGGAUGCUUAAAGACAAGACCAUGUUGCCAUUUCAUUUCAUGUAUCAUUUUAGAAAUACACACACAAAUAUGUAUAAGUGUAUAUGUGUGCAUAUGUAUACAUGUACACACAUAUACGUAUAUGUGUAUAUGGAUACAUGGAUUUAUGGGCUUCUCAAAUCCUACCUACACCAAUCUUUGGAACAUCCAUCACCCUGCUGGUCCAAGGGAGCCUGGGAGUAUGAAUACGCUCACACCAAGGAUAAGGCUUUCUAUUGUCUCCUCCCAAUGCAUGGUAAAGAUGUGGUAAGAACUCAAAGGAUCACGGUCUUUGGUGUGACAUCCUACAACAAUAUAGGAGCUGAAGGGACUGGUGGGCUUGUCCAGAUAACUCCACUGAUGAUCCAGAGCACAAAGCAAGCUCCACAAAGAAACCUGUGGAGAUUCCUAAGUUUCUAGAUGUUUCUGUGUCAACCUUCUGCAGAUCUCGUUUUAGAUAAAGCUAAGACUACAGAGGUGUUUCAGAGUGAUAUGACAGACCAGGAAAACUCAACUGAAAUGGUCUAAUUGAACUCAAACUCUCUCAGGAAUGAAAUGUGGUUCGUCAUCAGGAUAAUCAAAUCCGGGCUCCUGUAAAUGCUAGGUCUAUACUCGCCCACUGAGCUACAUCCAAACCUAAAUUAUUUCUAUAGUUUAAAAAUUAUAUUUGUUAGGGCCAGCAAUAUGGCUCGGUAAGGAGUAAAGACACCUGCUGCGAAGCCUGACCACCUGGCUCUGUUCCUGGAACCCAUGUUGUGAAAGGAAAAAAGAAAUCAAUUCCCACCAUGCCCUCUGAUUUGUGUGAUUGUACAUAUGCACAAUAACCCUCAAAAUAAAUAGGUAAUGCAAAAAAA
rnacentral:lncRNA from 1 species